rnacentral:misc_RNA from 1 species
AGACAAUUUUGAAACAAAGAUAAAUGUGCUUGCAUACUCAAGACUUUUUUCUGAGGGAGAGACAUCAAGAUACUUCAUUUAUACGAAGUUCAAUUUGGUAGAUAACAAAUAUAUAUUUGCUGCUUAACAAGGAUUCAUGCAAAACUAAUAAUGAUGCAUGUUCAAUUGAUCCUUCAUGCACAGCAGCUAGCAUUGGUUGAUUCAGUUUGAAGUUGAGCAAAACUAAAAUGCUGAUAUUCUUGAAGAGGGAACCAAAUGAAACUUAAAUAAUUAUAAACCAAACAAAAUUGAAAUAAUCUGGUU